GAGUUUGAUCAUGGCUCAGGAUGAACGCUAGCGGCAGGCUUAACACAUGCAAGUCGAGGGGUAUAGUUCUUCGGAAUUAGAGACCGGCGCACGGGUGCGUAACGCGUAUGCAAUCUACCUUUCACAGAGGGAUAGCCCAGAGAAAUUUGGAUUAAUACCUCAUAGUAUAACGACUCUGCAUGGAGAUGUUAUUAAAGUCACAACGGUGAAAGAUGAGCAUGCGUCCCAUUAGCUAGUUGGUAAGGUAACGGCUUACCAAGGCUACGAUGGGUAGGGGUCCUGAGAGGGAGAUCCCCCACACUGGUACUGAGACACGGACCAGACUCCUACGGGAGGCAGCAGUGAGGAAUAUUGGACAAUGGGCGCAAGCCUGAUCCAGCCAUGCCGCGUGCAGGAUGACGGUCCUAUGGAUUGUAAACUGCUUUUGCACAGGAAGAAACACCCCCUCGUGAGGGGGCUUGACGGUACUGUGAGAAUAAGGAUCGGCUAACUCCGUGCCAGCAGCCGCGGUAAUACGGAGGAUCCAAGCGUUAUCCGGAAUCAUUGGGUUUAAAGGGUCCGUAGGCGGUUUAGUAAGUCAGUGGUGAAAGCCCAUCGCUCAACGGUGGAACGGCCAUUGAUACUGCUAGACUUGAAUUAUUAGGAAGUAACUAGAAUAUGUAGUGUAGCGGUGAAAUGCUUAGAGAUUACAUGGAAUACCAAUU
rnacentral:rRNA from 1 species